ACUCCAUUUCUUGAGCUUGGGGCAUAACUUGGCCCCACUCUACCCCAGGGUCUCCUGUCUGGAGGCUACUGGAGCUACAGAGCCCUCAGGAGCCACCAGGCCUCAAGGAAAUCCCUACCUGACCCGGCGAUCAGCCCGAAACUUCAGCAUCUUUUUGGCAGCUCAGAGGACCUGCCAGCCACCCUGCUGCUACCAUCCCUCUGAGAAGUCAGUCCUUCAGUCCAACCCAGAACACGGUGGCAGAGCUGCAAGGUUAUUUCACCUUGUACUUCACAUGACAGAUCUCCUUUCGGACCGACGUGCUUCUCUUUAGCAGUGCCAGGCAUUCUGUUGACAUCACAGUCUGUUGCUAUGGCAAUGCUGUGGUAUCACAACAGACACCGAAAGGGAAGGACUAAUCUAAUUUUUGGAGAUGAAGGACAGAACUUGUCAGGGAGCAAUGCAAUCAGUGAAUGGAAAAGCAAAUGGACAACAUUAUGCUUUAACCCAUGAAGAGACAAAGCUGGGGGUCAACAGCUGCUGAUAUUUAAACAGCUAAUCCUCAAUGCAAAAGGUCGAUAUCGUCAUCCAUUUAGUGGGACUUUUACAAAUGAUUCACCCUGGCGACAGGAGGCCUCGUUUUCAGCUCCCAUCUGUCCCUAAUUCACUUACUGUGGAUUAUAGAGUGGGCUAUGCUGUGGUUAUGGAGGUGCUGAGCCAUCUCCUAAUGCUGGCUGGCAUCCCUGCCUGAGCAUAGUAGGUGCUCAAUAAAUGCUGGUUGGAUGCAUGA